rnacentral:tRNA from 1 species
GGAUCUAUGGUGUAGCCUGGAUAGCACGUAGGCUUGCGGAGCCUAAAACUUGGGUUCAAAUCCCAAUAGAUCCG